UACGGAGGGGGCUAGCGUUGUUCGGAAUUACUGGGCGUAAAGCGCACGUAGGCGGCUUUGUAAGUUAGAGGUGAAAGCCCAGGGCUUAACCCUGGAAUUGCCUUUAAGACUGCAUCGCUAGAAUCGUGGAGAGGUGAGUGGAAUUCCGAGUGUAGAGGUGAAAUUCGUAGAUAUUCGGAAGAACACCAGUGGCGAAGGCGACUCACUGGACACGUAUUGACGCUGAGGUGCGAAAGCGUGGGGAGCAAACCGG
rnacentral:rRNA from 1 species